rnacentral:lncRNA from 1 species
AUGCUCCAGUCAAGGCUGCCUGCGUGCUCUGAGUCAGAAGGGCCAGCAGACAGAGAGCUUUGGGUAUAUGCAGCAGAAGAAAGCUCAGCUAAUUCAGCAAACAAUGGAUUUGCUGGCAGGAUCUCGAGGACUCUCAGAAUCACUGGGAAAGCUGGAGACACAGACUUGGAAAUGGACCAGAACCAAGAAAGGACCACGCCGUUCCAGACGGAUUUGCCUACUUGGGAUUCCCAUGUUUCGCAGACUCAGGGCCCAUGUUCUCUCCCAGUUGUUGGGUAAACUCUGGGUUUUACAGACAAGGACUCUGGAAGGAGGCUCCCAGUGAAGGCUGACACCAGGGCUCUUUGGUUCAUGAAGCAAAGAACAAAUGCAGCCAAUCCCAGGACACCGAGGAACCAAGGUCCUCCUCGUCAAGAACUGGGGGUGCAGUUGGGAAAGAAUGGCUUGCUUCUCUGGGCUCCCUCUUGCUGAACUGAGCCAGGGCUCUACUUCUGCAAAAAGGGCAGAGCAUCGGGUGCCAGCCAAGUGCCUGCUCGGGCACCAGGGAAGCAGCUGGAAUUUGCCUGGAAACCACAAUGCUGUCGGCUUGGUUCUCAAUAGGCAACUGGGGACAAGACUGCAUUUGAUGGUCCAUCACCUGUCUUUCUGUUCUGCAUAAUAAGAACCCAUUCUCGGGGCAUCUUAUUGGCUCUGCUGAGUUUCGCAUUGUUUGGUUUCCUGUAAAGGCACUCAGUAGGGGAUCCCAGAGCCAUACUGAGUCGAAGCUUCAGGAGAUGCAGAGACACAUCUGCAAGGGCCCCAGCAACCAGUGACCUAAACCUACUUGAGAAGCAGUGGAGGACAAAGGAAGAUCCGCACAAACUGAGUCCUGGGUCUGUCUCCCACAAGCAGGACAUCUCAGGAAAGGAUUCCUGCUCCCCAACUCCUAAUGGCCAUAAGGGUAACUUCUACUCAAGCUGCUGCACCCACCACUUCCUCCCAGAAGCCCUCUGAUUCUGACUCUCAUUCCAUGCCUGGUCCAAACUCCUCUCUCUGAACUUGCAUUUAUGUCAGCACCACAGCAGGUGGUCCUGAUUGCUGGGUGACACCAGCCAGAGCAGGGCUUCUCCCCUCCUGAAAGGGGAUGGCGGGAUGUCUGAUGGCAUUUGCCGCAAAAUCCCUCCUGAUUAAUCAGGCUCCUCCAAUUUGUGAGUCAGAAUUUCUUGGGGAGAGAAAUCUGCCUUGAGUGGAAUUAUCCUGAACUCUGAUAUCAAUGCAGGGGGGAAAAAGAGUCAUUUGUAGCCUGGCAACAGAGAUCUGCAUGUUCUUCCUUCAUGCCAAGCCAUAAACACAGCCUUCCCUCUGCUAAACCUAAUGUUACUAAAAGGCCAGUGACCAGGAGAAAUCAAGGCAACAGCAUCCACAUCUGUAGGCACUGGUGGUGCGAGGAGGCCAGCAGGGAGCAACACAGAAAUCAGUACUGUGAACAAUGGGCGUUCAGGAGGAACCCAAAAGCUCUUCGGAGAGGGAGAUCCUACCAAACUCCAGGCUCCAUUUCCUGUACUGGUCAGUGAUGAGCUUCUGGAGGCCAGGAGGGGCAAGAGCACACCUUGAGGAAGGGCUGCAACUUGAACUUGGACAAUGGAGUCACACCCUGCCACUUGCCUCUGCUGGGAGCCCUUCCGGCUCCCUCCUGGGCACUCCCUGCUGGCUGCUGACGCUACCUCCCACCCGGCCUCCAUGCUUCGCUCCUGUGCAUUUUCCUCUGGUCUAGGCACAAAACCUUCACCUCAGCAUACACAGCAGGCUUGAAUGUUUCCAAGCCAAGUGUUCUUUUUUUUUUUUUUUUUUUUUUUUUUUUUUUUUGGGUUGCACUGUGGCAUAGGGAAGUUCCCAGGCUAGGGGUUGAAUUGGAGAUGCAGCCACAGCAACGCCGGAUCUGGGCCGCAUCUGCAAUCUAUGCCGUAGGUUGUAGCAAUGCCGGAUCCUUAACGCACUGAGUGAGGCCAGCUGUUGAAUCCGCAUCCUCAUGGCUACUAGCCAAGUUCUUACCCUCUGAGCCACAGCAGAAACUCGCAAGCCAAGUAUUCUUGAAGCAAAGGAAGAAACAGGCUGAAACACUAGCUCGGGAGCAACCUCCCCAUCCACCUUUUAGCACCAUCUUAGAGAGGCCGUGUGGAGAAGUGGUUAAGAAUAUGGUCUCAGGGCCAGACUCCCUGGAAGCAAAUCCUAAUCAUCAGGAGGAUGGCCAUGGGCAAGUCGCUUCCCUCUGAACUUCGGUUUUCUCCCCUCUGAAAUGAAGAUGGAUGUAAUUCCUAUUUUUAAAAAAGGGAUUUAUGCGAGGCCCUUACAACAGUGUCUGGCAAAAGAAAAUAAAUGCCAAAGGAUGCUG